rnacentral:rRNA from 1 species
GACGAACGCUGGCGGCGUGCUUAACACAUGCAAGUCGUACGGUAAGGCCCUUUCGGGGGUACACGAGUGGCGAACGGGUGAGUAACACGUGCGUAACCUGCCCACAACUUUGGGAUAACGCUAGGAAACUGGUGCUAAUACUGGAUAUGUGCUCCUGCUGCAUGGUGGGGGUUGGAAAGCUCCGGCGGUUGUGGAUGGACUCGCGGCCUAUCAGCUUGUUGGUGGGGUAGUGGCCUACCAAGGCGGCGUCGGGUAGCCGGCCUGAGAGGGUGACCGGCCACAUUGGGACUGAGAUACGGCCCAGACUCCUACGGGAGGCAGCAGGGGGGAAUAUUGCACAAUGGGCGCAAGCCUGAUGCAGCAACGCCGCGUGCGGGAUGACGGCCUUCGGGUUGUAAACCGCUUUCAGCAGGGACGAAGCUUUUUGUGACGGUACCUGCAGAAGAAGCACCGGCUAACUACGUG